rnacentral:rRNA from 1 species
UGGGGAAUCAUGGUCAAUGGGCGAAAGCCUGAACCUGCGACGCCGCGUGAGUGAUGAAGGUCGUAAGAUCGUAAAACUCUUUUCAGGGAUCUUAAAGCCUGUCUGUCAACAACAGGCAGGUCUGACUCUCCCUGGAAGAAGCCCCAGCCAACUACGUGCCAGCAGCUGCGGUAAUACGUAGGGGGCGAGCGUUAUUCGGAAUUACUGGGUGUAAAGCGCGUGUGGGUGGUUCUGUAAGUAGGGCGUGAAAGCUCCUGGCUGAACUGGGAGAGGCCGUUCGAA